AGUGAACGCUGGCGGCGUGCCUAAUACAUGCAAGUCGAACGGAGAUUAAGUAGCUUGCUAUUUAAUCUUAGUGGCGCACGGGUGAGUAAUAUAUAGCUAACUUGCCCAUUACUAAGGGACAACAGUUGGAAACGACUGCUAAUACCUUAUACUCCGUAUCUAUAUAAGUAGAUACGGGAAAGUUUUUCGGUAAUGGAUAGGGCUAUAUCGUAUCAGCUAGUUGGUAAGGUAAUGGCUUACCAAGGCUAUGACGCGUAACUGGUCUGAGAGGAUGAUCAGUCACACUGGAACUGAGACACGGUCCAGACUCCUACGGGAGGCAGCAGUAGGGAAUAUUGCUCAAUGGGGGAAACCCUGAAGCAGCAACGCCGCGUGGAGGAUGACACUUUUCGGAGCGUAAACUGCUUUUCUUGGGAAAGAAUUAUGACGGUACCCAAGGAAUAAGCACCGGCUAACUCCGUG
rnacentral:rRNA from 1 species